rnacentral:sRNA from 1 species
GGGGGCUGGUGGUGCUGUGUGCUCACCUCCUGUCCUCUGCUCUUGUCCUGGGCCCUCGUCACCCAAAGGCUUCAAGCGACAUCGGUGCCGGCCAGAAAACUCUGGGAAGAAGGCUGUACCCAGUGCCAGUGCUACCUCUGCAGGCAGGGGCAGCAAAUGUGACUCAGCUGAGGGGAAAAAUCAGAAAGGGGAAAGGCAGGUCCAAGCAGAGGAGGGGUGAGAGGAGAUAGCAAGGUCAAGUGCUUUCCCCCAUUUCUCUUUUCCUUUAUUGUAACUCCAGUGAUUAAAACAAAAGCUGUUCAACUUAGUAUAGCUUCAUUGCAAGCAAACAAGCAAAAUUCCAAGGUCAGAAAACAAAAAGCCUUCGGAGAAAGUCAAGCACCACAAAGGAGCUCCCACUCCCACUAUGUCAGAGAUCCCCCCAGACAGCGGCCCCCUCUCAUCAGCCCUCUCACCCUGGAGACCUCGUCUCUGGGGGU